AACGAACGCUGGCGGCAUGCCUAAUACAUGCAAGUCGAACGAGUGCCUUCGGGUGCUAGUGGCGCACGGGUGCGUAACGCGUGGGAAUCUGCCCUGGGGUACGGAAUAACUCAGAGAAAUUUGAGCCAAUACCGUAUGAUAUCGCUAGAUCAAAGAUUUAUCGCCCUGGGAUGAGCCCGCGUUGGAUUAGCUAGUUGGUGGGGUAAAGGCCUACCAAGGCGACGAUCCAUAGCUGGUCUGAGAGGAUGAUCAGCCACACUGGGACUGGCACACGGCCCAGACUCCUACGGGAGGCAGCAGUAGGGAAUAUUGGACAAUGGGCGAAAGCUUGAUCCAGCAAUGCCGCGUGAGUGAUGAAGGCCUUAGGGUUGUAAAGCUCUUUUACCCGGGAUGAUAAUGACAGUACCGGGAGAAUAAGCCCCGGCUAACUCCGUGCCAGCAGCCGCAGUAA
rnacentral:rRNA from 1 species